rnacentral:lncRNA from 1 species
GGGCAAUCUCGAGGCGGAUAGGAAGCUGAAUGACAGAGAGUGAAGUAACCUGUUCAAGGUUCUCACUCAGCUAGGACGGAGCAGACGUGGGGUGUGAGCGUAGGCAAAUGGACUGUGGAACCACGAUUUUCAACUCCGUGUUACCUGCAGGGCCCUGUUUCUCCAGAAGCAGCCUGUCCAGUCAAGAUUAAAGCUGAGCACCUCCCCUUGGUCGUGCGCCCCAACGUCUCUUCUCAUUGAAGUAAAUCAGCAUUACUGUUGAAUGAAGCGUACUCGUCUUUAAAAGCGGAAACUCCUGGUAUGUACAUGAUG